rnacentral:rRNA from 1 species
AUUGAACGCUGGCGGCAUGCCUUACACAUGCAAGUCGAACGGCAGCAUGAUCUAGCUUGCUAGAUUGAUGGCGAGUGGCGAACGGGUGAGUAAUACAUCGGAACGUGCCCUGUAGUGGGGGAUAACUAGUCGAAAGAUUAGCUAAUACCGCAUACGACCUGAGGGUGAAAGUGGGGGACCGCAAGGCCUCAUGCUAUAGGAGCGGCCGAUGUCUGAUUAGCUAGUUGGUGAGGUAAAGGCUCACCAAGGCGACGAUCAGUAGCUGGUCUGAGACGACGAUCAGCCACACUGGGACUGAGACACGGCCCAGACUCCUACGGGAGGCAGCAGUGGGGAAUUUUGGACAAUGGGGGCAACCCUGAUCCAGCAAUGCCGCGUGUGUGAAGAAGGCCUUCGGGUUGUAAAGCACUUUUGUCCGGAAAGAAAUCGCACUUACUGAUAUUAGGUGUGGAUGACGGUACCGGAAGAAUAAGGACCGGCUAACUACGUGCCAGCCGCCGCCGUAAAAC